AAGAGCUGAGAUCUACAAGGGAUCUUCUGAAGGCAAGGCUGGAAAUAGAAAGAUGCAGAUGUCUUCAGGUAGACUUUACUGCAUCUCACAAAAGGAUUUUCUAGGAUUCUGAAUAAUCUUAUGUCAAUAAAUUAUUUUGAUGGUCUCAACUGAACUUCUCACAGGCAUCCCUGCUCUUGAGCCAAAUAUAGUGGCCUUGUUUAUCUAAAAAAGAAAAAAAGCUCCAAGCUCUGAGAUGACCAGAAGGCUUCGAAUUGCACCUGCUUAAUGGCAUCGAUGGGAAUUUGCCCAUUCCACGUCUAGGGAGAACUUGGUGCCUAGCAGCUUCCCUUGCUCAGGAUCUUUCCUGUCUGGAAAAGAUGCCUUUCUUCAGCUCUUGCCAAGUCAGUCCACAGUCGGUCACGUCCUGGUGUCUACAUGUGUUUAUUAAAAUAAACGAGGAGAUAGAAGGCAGUAAUUCAGAGCAGGAGCAGAACAAAUACUAAGCUGCAAUAGCACCUGACCAAGGAAAUCUGCCAUGACUAUGUGAUUCUUGAUGCCCUCAGCUUGCCAACUGCACAUGCUCUACGGCCUUGUUCCGUCUGAAGUUUGGGAGUCUUUGCCUGUCCCCGUCUCUGGAACUUGCGAAGUUUUUGGUAACACUAACCAAAGAAGGGAAAGACCUGCACAACAAGAACUUUAAGUCUUUGGAGAAAGAAAUUGCAGAAGAUGUCAGAAAACAGAAUUUGAGAAGGGGUGGUGUGAUCAAAUGCAGUUGCAAAAAACAGAUUUGUGUGCUCUUUCAAACGCCAAACAGGAACCCUACGUUUGAUAACUACGUCUAGGCAAAUAUGGAAAAACACCAUGUGAUUCAACUGUUUAUUUCCUUUGAUCCAAAUGAUUGAAUUCUAGAAGAUUGUGAACCGGAUAGCCGGCAAACAGCACUCUUCAGUGAUUUGGUUAGCUCGGGUGUGCGGGCCUCCAAGUCAGGCAAGUCUCAAGCUACUGAUCCAACUUGCUUUGGACCCCAGCAGAACCACGAUGCUCUGCAUAUUUAAAUUUGAUUUUGGAUCUGCACCGAGCUAAUCCCCUCGGCACCCCGACUGAAGAGGGUAUCUUCUCACCGAGAACGUGAUUAAGGAAUCGAUUUUACUCUCUGGUUGUAUGAAGAUGGAGGUCAGCGUCUCUAACAGGCUGGUGUCAGAAUGGCAGAGAACUUGCAUGAAGAGGAACAAUAAAGUUGGUGAUAUAUAUAGACACUAGCCUGUAUCUUCUCACACGGCCUAGAAACGUGGAAAGCAUCAUGCUGUGGAGAUGAAGAUAUUUGUGUGAGAGACCAAUGUUUGAGUUGGAAGGUUGGGCAAAGCUAAAGGCCCUCCGUAAUGGGGGUAGGCCUCAGAUUUGAUUUUUUUUUCUUUUUUUUUUCGAGACAGGGUUUCUCUGUGGCUUUGGAGCCUGUCCUGGAACUAGCUCUUGUAGACCAGGCUGGCCUCGAACUCACAGAGAUCCGCCUGCCUCUGCCUCCCGAGUGCUGGGGAUUAAAGGCGUGAGCCACCACUGCUCGGCUAGGCCUCAGAUUUGAAUAGACGAAGGAUUAAGUAAUGGGUCAUUCAUGCUUUCUGUUGUUUGCUGCUAGGACAUUGGUCCUAUACUCUUAGCUUUCAAGCUUGUAAAUCAUGAGACUUCUUUUUCCAUAAUUAAGUGAGCCCGUUCCUACACUAAGUCUGUCUUAUAUAUGUGUUUGUAUAUUUAUAAACACAUACGUGUGCAUAUAUAUGGAUGAUCUAUGUCAUCGAUCAUUUCUGUUUCCAUGGAGAUCUCUGAGUAAUACAGUUAAUGAACAUCAUGACGGUUAACAGUAAACAGUAGCAUUAGCCAAGUACUCACCAAGUGCCUAGUAUCAGACUCAAGAACCUCCAUCUGUUUUGCAGCACCAGGUAAGUGGGCACACUAGCUCCACUCCACAGAUGAAAAACAUCUUAAAGAAACAAAUGGCCUAGGACAGGCUGUGGCCGUUGCUGCAUACAUGCUAAGGUGCUUGUUUAUUCUAGAACUAGUAAGUAGGAAAUACACUUACAUAGGAGGAAAGGACUUUGUUGACGUCUCUCAUCCCCUGGUCCCAUAGUUUCUAUUUUCCUAUAGAAUGUGGUUGACUCCUUGCACGGUAAGAGGAGGGAGGGGUUCUGUUGCCCGACUCUGCAGUUCUCACAGCCUCUAGGGAGUUCCGAAGGGUUCAGAACGGAGGGAAGGCUCCUGUAUUUGAAACUACCGAGAAGGAAAGAAUGUGUUGUUUGAGAGCCGAGAUUUCUCCUCUUUUCCUCAGUUCUGGGCAGGAGGGCCAGUGGGUGAGCAAGGCAGGGUGGGAAGAACUUGCUCACUUACUCUAGUAUUACACGCAGAACUGUUACUCGGUUCUAUGGGCCUGAGAAAUCAUUGUAAGCUUAGCCAGUCCUAGUUACCUGGCUUUGAUUACUCUGUGUACACAUGAGGUUACUACAGUGUAUCCCAUAAAUAUAUAAAGUUACUAUGUGUCAAUAAAAGUUUAUUGUAUGCAUUUUUACAAAUUUUAAAA